UACAGAGGUCCCAAGCGUUGUUCGGAUUUACUGGGCGUAAAGGGUGCGUAGGUGGUGAGGUAAGUCUUGUGUGAAAGCUCGGAGCUUAACUCCGAAAUUGCAUAGGAAACUACUUUGCUGGAGGGUUGGAGGGGGGACUGGAAUACUUGGUGUAGCAGUGAAAUGCGUAGAUAUCAAGUGGAACACCAGUGGCGAAGGCGAGUCCCUGGACAACUCCUGACACUGAGGCACGAAAGCUAGGGGAGCAAACGGG
rnacentral:rRNA from 1 species